AUGCCACAAUGAGGGAAUCUUUGUAACAACUCCUUCAACCUCUCCCAUGCCUCAUACAAAGAUUCAUCUUCAAGUUGCUGAAAAGAAAUGAUCUCAUUACGAACCUU